UUAACAACAAAUAACAAGUUCACCAGCAACACACUUCAGUUGAGGGAAGGAUUCACCAGGCUCUGACUGGUCCUAAAGUGAAUCAGGCUAGAAAUCAAAGUAUGCAACUGCGUUGUGCUGUUCUUCAAAGCUUCUAGCUCUUCUGUCUGAGACUUCAAUGUUAUUUCUUGCGUUUCAGCAAACAAUGUCAGUGCACCCAUCUCAGACUCCUGUUCAGCAAUCUUUUGCCGAAGUUGUCCCCUCCCACUUAUUUCUCACUCUCAAGAUCAGCUUGGAUUUCUUCUACCUAUAGCAUAGUACCAACCCUAGUCAUUUUCUUCGAGGGUGGGUGAAUCCCAGCAACCUCUCGGAAUGUCCUAGAUUGGACAACUUCAGCCACUACUUCAGCGGCAGUCUUCGGUUGGUCGUCUCUAGGUUGGGCAAUGAUUUGUUCCAUUCGAGCCUAAUAAAAGAAAGAAAAUGAAUGGUCUCACAAAAGUACUCACAAAUGUUUCUACUGUUGUUGUUGCAAAGAAGAAUACAAAAUAAACAAGUACUUACAAUGGCUGCCUGUACUGGAGCAGUGUACCAUUUUGCUGCAAUGGAAGUUCUUGAAAAGAUCAAUUGGAGUUGGGUCUCCUUCAACUUACUUAUCCCUCUAAUAUGAUGUGAAAACAAGCAUAAACUAUUAGCUUGGAACAAGGAGCAUGAGAAAGUUCAUCAAAUAAAGUACAUAGCAAAAACAUGACUUGUUCAGUUGCUUACCACAACAUGAGCCUUUGCAACGUAGCUUUUAGAUCCUGUGUGCUUAGGAUACCUGACAAGUCCACAAUUACCGGUGUUUGUAGUACACCUCUCCUUUACAAUAAUGAAAACUCGUGUAAGAGCAAUGAAUAAGAGGAACAGAUUAGUAC
rnacentral:lncRNA from 1 species